ACCACGAUAGGAUAUUUCACGUCCACACUGUAGUAUAGCUAACUCAAGAAUGGACUACCUACUCUCACGAGUGCCAAAGAAGUCUCUGAUUGUCUGGAAGUCUUGGAAGUCUGUAGCAGAAAAAUAUAUAGUUGGCAGGAGGGGCCCCUCCAUCCCCACUCUUUCACUCCGCCAGUCUUGAUCACCCCAUUUCUCUGCUGCAUGAGAAGCUCGUGAAAAAUAUGUAAGACAUCAGCUGGUCACAAAUUGACAUAUUGUGUUCAAUUGAAAAAAUGUUGUACAAUUAAAGCAUAAAAUGAUAGCAUAAAACAAAAUAAGUUGUCACACGCAGUGUUCAUCAGUACGGUACAGCUAAGUUACUUGCUUACCCAAAGGGAGUGAUGUUGGCAAGAAGGAGACCAUUCUGUCCUUAUCUACUAUUUUUUAUAAAUGCUAUUAUAAGGAGUAAGUUCAAGACUUGACAUAGGCAAACUAUGUAAUGUGACAACAAAGCCGAGAACAAGGACGAGGUGGGGUAGUACAUCGAGGACUCGAUGCCCAACUUGUGUUCUUCGAAGGCAAGGCAGAGGAAGAGGAAGAACAUAGUCAUAUUGCUCCUUCAACAGAGCAAUAUCUCUUCCUGCCUCUCCUGUUCCUGCUCUUCCUGCUUCACCUGCUCAUCCUCCCUUCUAGUCCCUCCUGCUCUUCUCUCCUGCACCUCCCUCCUGCACGGGUAACGUUUCUAACCAUGCACAAUUUUUUUUUUUAAUAAAAGGAGAAGCCGAUCCCCUUUUUAAGCCUUAUUCUGCCCGUCCUCAUGGGCCACUGGCCUGUGCGAGGAUCUUAUCAAACAGAAUAAAGGGGAAAGU